rnacentral:lncRNA from 1 species
CGCCGACGUAACUUUCCGGCGUCGCUGCCGCCUCGUCCGGCCACCUAUGGCCAUGAAAUUGGUGUCCAUCUCUUCGUCUUGAAACAAGGUUUCUAUCUAUAUAUGCCUUGCACCCUAUCAUUCACCAUAGACGACGAAUCGAAGCCAACAAGUUCACUGUAGCAGUUUGGGAUUUUCGUCGAUUUCCGGCGAUUCCGGCCAUCUCCGGCCACCAAACCGGCGUCGAAGGAGCGG